AUUGAACGCUGGCGGCAGGCCUAACACAUGCAAGUCGAACGAGUGGCGGACGGGUGAGUAAUGUCUGGGACCCUGCCUGAUGGUGGGGGAUAACUACUGGAAACGGUAGCUAAUACCGCAUACCAUCGGAUGUGCCCAGAUGGGAUUAGCUUGUAGGUGAGGUAACGGCUCACCGAGGCGACGAUCCCUAGUAGGUCUGAGAGGAUGACGAGCCACACUGGAACUGAGACACGGUCCAGACUCCUACGGGAGGCAGCAGUGGGGAAUAUUGCACAAUGGGCGCAAGCCUGAUGCAGCCAUGCCGCGUGUAUGAAGAAGGCCUUCGGGUUGUAAAGUACUUUCAGCGGGGAGGCGUUAGCCGCAGAAGAAGCACCGGCUAACUACGUGCCAGCAGCCGCGGUAAUUC
rnacentral:rRNA from 1 species